AUUGAACGCUGGCGGCAUGCUUUACACAUGCAAGUCGGACGAGUGGCGUACGGGUGAGUAACGCAUCGAAACGUACCGAGUAAUGGGGGAUAACUGUCCGAAAGGACAGCUACUACCGACAACUAUGAGAUGAGCCUAGGUCGGAUUAGCUAGUUGGGGGGGUAAAGGCCUACCUAGGCGACGAUCCCUAGCUGGUCUGAGAGGAUGACCAGCCACACUGGAACUGAGACACGGUCCAGACUCCUACGGGAGGCAGCAGUGGGGAAUAGUGCACAAUGGGCGGAAGCCUGAUGCAGCCAUGCCGCGUGUGUGAAGAAGGCCUUCGGGUUGUAAAGCACUUUCAGCGGGGAGGCGUUACCCGCAGAAGAAGCACCGGCUAACUCCGUGCCAGCAGCCGCGGUAAUUC
rnacentral:rRNA from 1 species